rnacentral:tRNA from 1 species
ACGGAUAUGAUGAAAUUGGUAUACAUAUUAGAUUUAGAUUCUAAUGAUGCAAAUCGUGAGGGUUCAAAUCCCUCUAUCCGUA